GACCUACUGCGCAUCAGCGCCGGCGGCAAAAACUUUGGACUGUCGUAUGACUCUGCCAGAUCUUCUGGACAGCAGGCAGCCAGGGGGCCUACCGGCACUGAAUCGGAUCGAGCAGAACCAGGCGAUCACCGCAGGACCGGGACUCGAUCACCGCCUGGCUGGCCUGGUUGCAGCAGACCGCCGCACAGCAGCGGAUUCAG
rnacentral:rRNA from 1 species